rnacentral:rRNA from 1 species
UAGGGAACAUUGCUUAAUGGGCGAAAGCCUGAAGCAGCAACGCCGCGUGUGUGAAGAAGGCCUUCGGGUUGUAGAACACUUUUUGAGGGAAUGAGGAAGGACAGUACCCUCAGAAUAAGCCUCGGCUAACUACGUGCCAGCAGCCGCGGUAAAACGUAGGAGGCGAGCGUUAUCCGGAUUUACUGGGCGUAAAGCGCGUGCAGGCGGCACGGCAAGUUGGAUGUGAAAGCUCCCGGCUUAACUGGGAGAGGUCGUUCAAAACUGCCGAGCUAGAGUGCGGGAGAGGGAGGUGGAAUUCCGGGUGUAGUGGUGAAAUGCGUAGAUAUCCGGAGGAACACCAGUGGCGAAAGCGGCCUCCUGGUCCGCAACUGACGCUCAGACGCGAAAGCUAGGGUAGCAAACGG